rnacentral:rRNA from 1 species
AGUGAACGCUGGCGGUAGGCCUAACACAUGCAAGUCGAACGGCAGCACAGUAAGAUCUUGCUCUUACGGGUGGCGAGUGGCGGACGUGUGAGGAAUACAUCGUAAUCUACUUUUUCGGGGGGGAUAACGUAGGGAAACUUACGCUAAUACCGCAUACGACCUACGGGUGAAAGCAGUGGAUCUUCGCACCUUGCGCGAUUGAAUGAGCCGAUGUCGGAUUGGCUAGUUGGCGGGGUAAAGGCCCACCAAGGCGACGAUCCGUAGCUGGUCUGAGAGGAUGAUAGCCCACACUGGAACUGAGCCACGGACCAGGCUCCUACGGGAGGCAGCAGUGGGGAAUAUUGGACAAUGGGCGCAAGCCUGAUCCAGCCAUACCGCGUGGGUGAAGAAGGCCUUCGGGUUGUAAAGACGUUUUGUGGGGAAAGAAAAGCAGCCGGUUAAGACCCCGCUGUUCUGACGGUACCCAAAGAAUAAGCACCGGCUAACUUCGUG